GAUCUCAGCCCGCGGUCCCUGCGCCCGCAGGGGACCGCGCCACGUGCUGCGCUCCCGGCUGCCCAGCCUGCGCCUCUGGGCCCCUGCCCUCUGCCACCCCGGCCGGGACCAAAGGCCGGGACGAGGAGGAGGUGGAUGGCAGGGUCCGGGCUGGGGAGCCGCACAAGCCGGGAACUCACUCGGGCCCGCGGCUGCGCGCCACCACCAGGAAUCACCUUGCAGCUCGGCCUAAGGAGAGAUCAGGAGACUUAUUUCCUAGGUGAUGGGGGCCCGUGAAGGGUUUGAGGAAGGCCUUAGAGUGGCAUUUGGAGUUGCUGGAAAAAGACUGGUGGAGGGGACGCUGAAAGGAGGCAGGAGUUAGGCUGCUGUGCUCCAGCAGGAGAGCUGGAGGAAGCAGGGGCUGUCGCAACCCAGAAGGAGACUCUUCAGACACCAGACGCCUGCUGCAAGGAAGGCCUGGGUAGACCUGCUGGUGACACGUAUUCAGAGAUGCGUCUACAGGCUGAUUCGCACAACACAACGGAGGGGAUUCAGAAGCGCUGCUGUGGUCAACACGACACCCACCAGCCAAGGUCCAGUACUGCUCACCCCCGCCCCAUCUUCCUCUUGCUAAAUCAUGAUGUUUUUGGUUCUUCUUCUGUAUUUAUCUUCUCCUGCAUUCACCUCCCCUCUCACACCUCCCUCAUUGGUUUGGCACAAAGAGGUUCCCCAGCGGGGAGUGAGCCAGCCCGUCUGUUCCCUUGCCUGUGUGGGGACAGUGUGUGGGCGAUGGUGUGGGGGGCCUGGGGGUCUGCGCGUGCAGUGCAGAUGCUGUCAUGGGCCUGCUUCUUGCCCCUUUUCUCUUGCAGGUUGGGCAUCACACACUCUGCUCUGGUGACUUCGCCCAAAUCUAACGGCAGUGCAAGAAGGCAGGCAAGGUGGAAAACAAGGCUUAAUUCCCCCGAAACGGGGGUCUCCCACCUCCCACCUUGAGAAAACAGAGCUGUAGAGACCCAGGAGCCAAGUCAGGUCUGCCAGCAAAACCGUGAAGUCGGCAUACCCUGGUCUCCUCCCCCCACCUUCCAGAGCCCCCUCUUCCUCAUGGAAGAAUCAGGAAAGAGGCAACAUUUAACAGAUGAAGACCGGAGGAGGUGACUCUUGGCACUCACCCCGAUGGAGGAGGUCAUUUCGUGCUUAGACACGUGCCACCCAAAUAGCCAUGAUUCCACCUGCUAGAAAGAACGACCCCGGGGCCCUCUCCUCCGGGCAUCGAGAAAGGCAGAUGGGUGCUGGGUUUCCGUUUAGAGUAAUGAAAAAAGUCUGCAACUAGAUAGUGGGGAUAGUUGCAUAACGCUGUGAAUGUACUUCAGGUCAUGGAAUUGUACGCUCUAAAAUGGUUACAGUGGGGGUUCCCUCGUGGCGCAGCGGGCGAAGGAUCUGUUGUCACUGCUGUGGCUUGGGUCACUGCUAUGGUGCAGGUUUAAUCCCUCACCUGGGAACUUCCGCAUGCCACGGGCACAGCCAAAAAAAAAAAAAAAAAGGUUAUGGGUUAUGAUGAUAAAAUGUAUGUUAUGUGUAUUUUACCAAACACAAAACACAUUGCAUCCCUGAAAAAAAAAAAAAAGAGGGCUUUAUGAAGCUGCAAUACUAUUACUAUUAUAAUU
rnacentral:lncRNA from 1 species